rnacentral:rRNA from 1 species
CCUACGGGAGGCAGCAGUGAGGAAUAUUGGUCAAUGGACGAGAGUCUGAACCAGCCAAGUAGCGUGAAGGAUGACUGCCCUAUGGGUUGUAAACUUCUUUUAUAUGGGAAUAAAAUGUUCCACGGGUGGGAUUUUGUAUGUACCAUAUGAAUAAGGAUCGGCUAACUCAGUGCCAGCAGCCGCGGUAAUACGGAGGAUCCGUGGUGUAGCCGGAUUUAUUGGGUUUAAGGGGAGCGUAGGGGGAUUGUGAAGUCAGUUGUGAAAGUUUGCGGCUCAACCGUAAAAUUGCAGUUGAAACUGGCAGACUAGAGUACAGUAGAGGUGAGCGGAAUUCGUGGUGUAGCGGUGAAAUGCAUAGAUAUCACGAAGAACCCCGAUUGCGAAGGCAGCAUACCGGUGCACAACUGACGUUGAGGCACGAAAGCGUGGGUAGCCAACAGGAUUAGAUACCCUUGUAGUC